UUCGGGCCUCUCGCGUCAGGAUAUGCCUAGGUGGGAUUAGCUAGUUGGUGAGGUAAGGGCUCACCAAGGCGACGAUCCCUAGCUGGUCUGAGAGGAUGAUCAGCCACACUGGAACUGAGACACGGUCCAGACUCCUACGGGAGGCAGCAGUGGGGAAUAUUGCACAAUGGGCGCAAGCCUGAUGCAGCCAUGCCGCGUGUGUGAAGAAGGCCUUCGGGUUGUAAAGCACUUUCAGUCGUGAGGAAGGUGGUGUAGUUAAUAGCUGCAUCAUUUGACGUUAGCGACAGAAGAAGCACCGGCUAACUCCGUGCCAGCAGCCGCGGUAAUACGGAGGGUGCGAGCGUUAAUCGGAAUUACUGGGCGUAAAGCGCAUGCAGGUGGUUUGUUAAGUCAGAUGUGAAAGCCCGGGGCUCAACCUCGGAAUAGCAUUUGAAACUGGCAGACUAGAGUACUGUAGAGGGGGGUAGAAUUUCAGGUGUAGCGGUGAAAUGCGUAGAGAUCUGAAGGAAUACCGGUGGCGAAGGCGGCCCCCUGGACAGAUACUGACACUCAGAUGCGAAAGCGUGGGGAGCAAACAGGAUUAGAUACCCUGGUAGUCCACGCCGUAAACGAUGUCUACUUGGAGGUUGUGGCCUUGAGCCGUGGCUUUCGGAGCUAACGCGUUAAGUAGACCGCCUGGGGAGUACGGUCGCAAGAUUAAAACUCAAAUGAAUUGACGGGGGCCCGCACAAGCGGUGGAGCAUGUGGUUUAAUUCGAUGCAACGCGAAGAACCUUACCUACUCUUGACAUCCAGAGAACUUUCCAGAGAUGGAUUGGUGCCUUCGGGAACUCUGAGACAGGU
rnacentral:rRNA from 1 species